GGCUCAGCCGAACGGCGAGGCCGAUGGCAGAACCGGUUAAUAUUCCGGUACUACCCUUUGGGGUGACGUGGAGACGCAGUCGUGACAAUGCCGCCAGCUGACGGAAUAGCUGGUUAAAGGGUGUAGAAGUUGAUUGUGGCAGGCAAAUCCACCACAAGAUUCGAACCUGACAGUAUGGAGCGUCCUUCCGGACAAUCCAACAGUGCAUGUAAUCAUACUGCCAAGAAAAUCCGCUAAACAUAACCUUCAGGGUACCCGUACCGCAAACGGACACACGUAGUCGGGUUGAAUAUACUAAGGCGCUUGAGUGAUUCACGGUUAAGGAACUAGGCAAAUUAACCCUGUAACUUCGGGAAAAAGGGUCCCUACCCGUUAUCGGGAGGGCGCAGAGAAUCGGUCCAGGCAACUGUUUAACAAAAACACAGGGCUGUGCGAAGUCGAAAGACGCUGUAUACAGCCUGACACCUGCCCGGUGCUGGAAGGUUAAGAGGAGAUGUCAUCGCAAGAGAAGCAUUGAAUUGAAGCCCCAGUAAACGGCGGCCGUAACUAUAACGGUCCUAAGGUAGCGAAAUUCCUUGUCGGGUAAGUUCCGACCUGCACGAAUGGUGUAAUGAUCUGGACGCUGUCUCAACCGUGAGCUCAGUGAAAUUGUAGUAUCGGUGAAGAUGCCGAUUACCCGCGAUGGGACGAAAAGACCCCGUGAACCUUUACUAUAGCUUAUCAUUGAAUUUGGGCACGUGAUGUGUAGGAUAGGUCGGAGGCUUUGAAGCAGGCACGCCAGUGUUUGUGGAGCCGCUGUUGAAAUACGACCCUUCAUUUGUUUGAGUUCUAACUCGUAAUACGAGGACACUGAUUGGUGGGUAGUUUGACUGGGGUGGUCGCCUCCAAAAGUGUAACGGAGGCUUCUAAAGGUGCCCUCAGACCGAUUGGUAACCGGUCUCAGAGUGUAAUGGCAUAAGGGCGCUUGACUGGGAGACUAACAAGUCGAGCAGGUAGGAAACUAGAGCAUAGUGAUCCGGUGUUUCCGCAUGGAAGGGACAUCGCUCAAAGGAUAAAAGGUACUCCGGGGAUAACAGGCUGAUCCCUCCCAAGAGCUCAUAUCGACGGAGUGGUUUGGCACCUCGAUGUCGGCUCGUCACAUCCUGGGGCUGGAGAAGGUCCCAAG
rnacentral:rRNA from 1 species